GAGGGUAUAGCUCAGUGGUAGAGCAUAUGCUUAGCAUGCACAAGGUCCUAGGUUCAAUCCCCAGUACCUCCA
rfam:Camelus ferus unplaced genomic scaffold scaffold125142, whole genome shotgun sequence.